UUAAAUUAUUAAGGGCGUAUGGUGGAUGCCUUGGCAUUAGAAGACGAUGAAGGACGCGACAAACAGCGAUAUUGCUUCGGGGAGUUGUAAGUAAACUUUGAUCCGGAGAUCUCCGAAUGAGGAAACUCACCCAUUAGGGUAUCAUAAAGUGAAUACAUAGCUUUAUAGAAGUCAACCCCGUGAACUGAAACAUCUUAGUAACGGGAGGAAAAGAAAGAAAAAUCGAUUGCCUGAGUAGUGGCGAGCGAAACGGCAACAGCCCAAACCAGUCUUAGGACUGGGGUUGUAGGACACUAAUAUACGGAGUUACCAAGUUUUAUGAUAGCAGAACACUUUGGAAAGAGUGACCAUAGGAAGUGAUAGUCUUGUAUGCGAAAUCAUGAAACCUCUAUAGUGUAUCCUGAGUACGGCGGGACACGAGAAAUCUUGUCGGAAUCUGUGGGGACCAUCCCAUAAGGCUAAAUACUCUCUAAUGACCGAUAGUGAACAAGUACCGUGAGGGAAAGGUGAAAAGAACCCCGGGAGGGGAGUGAAAUAGAGAAUCUGAAACCAUAUGCUUACAAAAAGUUCGAGCCCAUUAACGGGUGAGAGCGUGCCUUUUGCAGAAUGAGCCGGCGAGUUAUGGUAUUGUGCAAGGUUAAGUGGAAAACACGGAGCCGAAGCGAAAGCAAGUCUUAAUAGGGCGAUUUAGUACAAUGCUGUAGACCCGAAACCGAGUGAUCUAGCCAUGAGCAGGUUGAAGUUGGGGUAAUACCCAAUGGAGGACCGAACCAGGGUACUAUGUAACGUGCUUGGAUGACUUGUGGCUAGCGGGGAAAUUCCAAUCGAACUCGGAUAUAGCUGGUUCUCCCCGAAAUAGGUUUAGGCCUAGCCUUGAAUUAUUUCAUCCUGGAGGUAGAGCACUGAAUGUGGAAUGGCCGCGUCUAGCGGUACUGACUGCAAUCAACCUCCGAAUGCCAGGAAUUGUAGAUUCAGGAGUCAGUGUAUGAGGUGAUAACGUCCAUACGCGAGAGGAAAACAAUCCAGACCAUCAACUAAGGUCCCUAAAUAUAUGUUAAGUGGGAAAGGAUGUGGAGACGCACGAACAGCUAGGAGGUUGGCUUAGAAGCAGCCAUCCUUUAAAGAGUGCGUAAUAGCUCACUAGUCGAGUAUCUCUGCGCCGAAAAUGUACCGGGGCUAAACAUAUUACCGAAGUUAUGGAUUUAUAAUUUAUUAUAAAUGGUAGGGGAGCGUUCUAAGGGCGCUGAAGGUAGAUCGUGAGGACUACUGGAGCGCUUAGAAGUGAGAAUGCCGGUGUGAGUAACGUAAGGUAGGUGAGAAUCCUACCCACCGAAUGACCAAGGUUUCCAGGGUAAAGUUCGUCUUCCCUGGGUUAGUCAGGACCUAAGGCGAGGCUGAAAAGCGUAGUCGAUGGACAACAGGUUUAUAUUCCUGUACUGCUUAUAGGACUGAUGGAGUGACGGAGAAAGCUAGAAAGAGCCAGUUAUUGGAUUCUGGUCUAAGCGUUUAGGUUGAUGCACAGGAAAAUCCGUGAUAUCGAUAAGACUGAAGCGUGAUGGCGACGUGGUCUACGGACCGCUAAGUCUUUUGAAGCUAUGCUUCCAAGAAAAACUUCUAAAGAUAUGUUAUAAGUACCCGUACCUAGAACCAACACAGGUGGUCAAGGAGAGAAUCCUAAGGUGAGCGAGAGAACUAUGGUUAAGGAACUCGGCAAAAUUACCCCGUAACUUCGGAAUAAGGGGAGGUUUCUUCGGAAACCCGCAGUGAAUAGGUCCAGGCAACUGUUUACCAAAAACACAGGUCUCUGCUAAAGCGUAAGCUGAUGUAUAGGGGCUGACGCCUGCCCAGUGCUGGAAGGUUAAGAUGAUUUGUUAGGUGGACGAAAGUCGAUAACACCGAAGCUUUGAUUUGAAGCCCCAGUGAACGGCGGCGAUAACUAUAAUCGUCCAAAGGUAGCGAAAUUCCUUGUCAGGUAAGUUCUGACCCGCAC
rnacentral:rRNA from 1 species